rnacentral:rRNA from 1 species
UACGUAGGGGCCUAGCGUUGUCCGGAUUUAUUGGGCGUAAAGAGCUCGUAGGCGGUUGGGUAAGUCGGGUGUGAAAACUCAGGGCUCAACUCUGAGACGCCACUCGAUACUGCUCUGACUCGAGUCCGGUAGGGGAGCGUGGAAUUCCCGGUGUAGCGGUGAAAUGCGCAGAUAUCGGGAGGAACACCAGUGGCGAAGGCGGCGCUCUGGGCCGGAACUGACGCUGAGGAGCGAAAGCGUGGGUAGCAAACAGG